UCAGUCGACUCCUACGGGAGGCAGCAGUGGGGAAUAGUUGCACAAUGGGCGCAAGCCUGAUGCAGCAACGCCGUGUGAGUGAAGAAGGUUUUCGGAUCGUAAACUCUGUCCUAAGGGAAGAAACAAAUGACGGUACCUUAGGAGGAAGCCCCGGCUAACUACGUGCCAGCAGCCGCGGUAAUACGUAGGGGGCAAGCGUUAUCCGGAAUCACUGGGCGUAAAGGGUGCGUAGGCGGCUUAGCAAGCCAGGGGUGAAAGGCAUUGGCUCAACCAAUGUAAGCCUUUGGAACUGUUAAGCUUGAGUGCAGGAGAGGUAAGUGGAAUUCCUAGUGUAGAGGUGAAAAUUCGUAGAUAUUAGGAGGAACACCAGUGGCGAAGGCGACUUACUGGACUGUAACUGACGCUGAUGCACGAAAGCGUGGGUAGCGAACAGGAUUAGAUACCCUGGUAG
rnacentral:rRNA from 1 species